UCGAAAGACGGGAAGUGGAACGAUCCUUAUGUCAAAAA
rnacentral:sRNA from 1 species